CGGGAUGUAGCGCAGCUUGGUUAGCGCGUUAGUCUGGGGGACUAAAGGUCGAGAGUUCAAAUCUCUCCAUCCCGACCA
rnacentral:tRNA from 1 species